CCGCUCUUGGUGCGCCUGCGCCGGGGCAGCCACGUGACGCGCAGCUCUGCAGGGAACACGCGUCCCGCCGCGCGCCCUGCUCUCCGAGUCCCCGGCCAGGACGCCCUGAGGCCCGGAUUCAGCGGCCGAUCCCUCCGGGACAGCGGGCGGUGGGGGGGCGGCGGGCUGGCUCUCCCUCCCUCCCGUCCGAUAAAGCUGUGUAACUGA